rnacentral:rRNA from 1 species
CAGUCGUACCUGCGGACAAUCAGCUUUUUGAGUGUGAUUACGUGGUUUAUGAGGAGUUUAACCGCCUUCACGUAUUGCAUAUUUGUGCUCUUGGGUGUACAUGUCUGUGUGGUAGGUUAACAUCAAUUUUGGUCGUCAUAAAAUGACUGGAGGAAUG